rnacentral:rRNA from 1 species
CACGGAGUUAGCCGGUGCUUAUUCAUACUGUACCUUCAGCUACCCUCACGAGGGUAGGUUUAUCCCAGUAUAAAAGAAGUUUACAAUCCAUAGAACCGUCGUCCUUCACGCGGGAUAGCUGGAUCAGGCUCUCACCCAUUGUCCAAUAUUCCUCACUGCUGCCUCCCGUAGGAGUCUGGUCCGUGUCUCAGUACCAGUGUGGGGGAUCACCCUCUCAGGCCCCCUAAAGAUCACUGACUUGGUGAGCCGUCACCUCACCAACUAUCUAAUCUUGCGCGUGCCCAUCUCUAUCCGCCGGAGCUUUCAAUAAUAAAUGAUGCCAUUCAUUAUAUUAUGGGAUAUUAAUCUUCCUUUCGAAAGGCUAUCUCCCUGAUAAAGGCAGGUUGCACACGUGUCCGUCACCCGUACGCCGCUCUCUCUGUCCCGAAAGACAAAUACCGCUCGGCUUGCAUGUGUUAGCCUCCCGCUAGCGUUCAUCCUGAGCCAGGAUA